UAUAUUGAAUGGCAUCAUUCGAUAUUGAAAACUCCGGUGGAUAGAGAUGGGCACGCGCAAGAUUAGAUAGUUGGUGAGGUAACGGCUCACCAAGUCUGCGAUCUUUAGGGGGCCUGAGAGGGUGAUCCCCCACACUGGUACUGAGACACGGACCAGACUCCUACGGGAGGCAGCAGUGAGGAAUAUUGGACAAUGGGUGAGAGCCUGAUCCAGCCAUCCCGCGUGAAGGACGACGGCCCUAUGGGUUGUAAACUUCUUUUGUAUAGGGAUAAACCUAGAUACGUGUAUCUAGCUGAAGGUACUAUACGAAUAAGCACCGGCUAACUCCGUGCCAGCAGCCGCGGUAAUACGGAGGGUGCAAGCGUUAUCCGGAUUUAUUGGGUUUAAAGGGUCCGUAGGCGGAUCUGUAAGUCAGUGGUGAAAUCUCACAGCUUAACUGUGAAACUGCCAUUGAUACUGCAGGUCUUGAGUGUUGUUGAAGUAGCUGGAAUAAGUAGUGUAGCGGNUGAAAUGCAUAGAUAUUACUUAGAACACCAAUUGCGAAGGCAGGUUACUAAGCAACAACUGACGCUGAUGGACGAAAGCGUGGGGAGCGAACAGGAUUAGAUACCCUGGUAGUCCACGCCGUAAACGAUGCUAACUCGUUUUUGGGAUUUAGGUUUCAGAGACUAAGCGAAAGUGAUAAGUUAGCCACCUGGGGAGUACGUUCGCAAGAAUGAAACUCAAAGGAAUUGACGGGGGCCCGCACAAGCGGUGGAUUAUGUGGUUUAAUUCGAUGAUACGCGAGGAACCUUACCAAGGCUUAAAUGGGAAAUGACAGGUUUAGAAAUAGACUUUUCUUCGGACAUUUUUCAAGGUGCUGCAUGGUUGUCGUCAGCUCGUGCCGUGAGGUGUUAGGUUAAGUCCUGCAACGAGCGCAACCCCUGUCACUAGUUGCCAUCAUUAAGUUGGGGACUCUAGUGAGACUGCCUACGCAAGUAGAGAGGAAGGUGGGGAUGACGUCAAAUCAUCACGGCCCUUACGCCUUGGGCCACACACGUAAUACAAUGGCCAGUACAGAGGGCAGCUACACAGCGAUGUGAUGCAAAUCUCGAAAGCUGGUCUCAGUUCGGAUUGGAGUCUGCAA
rnacentral:rRNA from 1 species